CCUACGGGUGGCAGCAGUGAGGAAUAUUGGUCAAUGGACGCAAGUCUGAACCAGCCAUGCCGCGUGCAGGAAGACGGCUCUAUGAGUUGUAAACUGCUUUUGUACGAGGGUAAACGCAGAUACGCGUAUCUGUCUGAAAGUAUCGUACGAAUAAGGAUCGGCUAACUCCGUGCCAGCAGCCACGGUAAUACGUAGGAUUAAAGCGUUAUCCGGAUUUUUUGGGUUUAUAGGGUGAGUAGGCGGUCGGAUAAGUUAGCGGUGAAAUCCCGAGGCUCAACUUCGGAAUUGCCUUUGAUAAUGGUUGGCUAGAGAGUAGGUGCGGUAGGGGGAAUGUAAGGUGUAGCGGUGAAAUG
rnacentral:rRNA from 1 species